GAAAAAACCAGAUCACAGCAGGCUGUGUGUGCAGAUGGUAGAUGCAAGUAUAGCCUGGCACCCCAGAUUCAAUGGUGAACCUUCAAAGUCCAGUAGCUGUCUCAGGUUGAGGGCAGACUAGAGAGAAGAGAUAGACUAGGCAGCAACUGAUGGGCAAAGCAGCAGUAGAACAGCCGAGAGGAGACUACAGAAGAAGAGAGGAAGGACAGGAGGAAGCACCCAGCACUUGGAGAGGAAGAGAGAAGGUAAUUUGGAGAGGAGUAGCAAUGCUCGCCUGUACUUGUCCCUGUGACAGUCACCCAGAGUCAUAAGGCAACUCAUGAACCUCAACCCCAAGCAAUGAAAAUUAACUUUCUGGGGCACCUGUAAUAAUGGAAGGGGAAGGGGUCAGACGGAACUAUUAACAAGAUGUCUCAAGUCAAAUCAGAGACUCCCAAGUCUGCAUACUCCGUAAGUUUUUGUAUCCAUUCUUCUUUUGCUGGACCUCCUUCUUCUUUCCAUUUUUGGGCAAGAAACAUUCUUGCCACUGUAGUCUCAUACAUGAAUAAAUUUUGUACUACAAAACCACCAUAUAUGAUAAGGGGUCGUGUCAAACUGUUGGAAGGUUGCAGCACCUGUGGCUGUAGAGACCAACAUGGGAAAGACUUGUUUUGUUGCAGCAGCGGCAGAUGAAGGUGUCCGGUUGUGUUGCUGCAGAUGCACCAUGGUGUUUUUUCUCUCUGUGCUUCUCCCGGCGGUCAUUCCUCCUGUGGUCACUGCUGUGGAUACACAACUGGACUGUUUUUCUCCAGGCUCCGUGGUUGCCUGCAAGGGAUUCCCACAAGACCACGGCAGUUACUGACACAUUGCAAAGAUAUAAAAUGGAGAAAAUUAGACCACAUCUCACCCGUGAAGAAACUAGAACUCCUACAGGAGCACAGAUUAAUGUGUUUCAGAAGAAUAAAAUGAUAUUGAUGGAUGGAUACUGAAAUUACUGGAAGUAGCAUAGGAAGUGAAACUGAGGGGAAAAUACGGAUUGGGAGGAACUGGGCCUAGAAAAGAGCCCUAUCAUUUUAAUGCUUGUCUAUGGAGGUUCUUGAAGCUACGACUAUGGCCCCAAAAUGGAAAAUGAGUGAGGUCCCAACCAAAGAAUAAUGGCAACUCAAGUUGACAGAAUAUGCACAGCUUGCAGACUUAACAUACAGAAUAAGAAGAACAUAAGUUUGGAGAAGAUUGGAAAACGUUGAUUGAAUAUACGGGAAAUAACAGUGUACAGCUGAAAACGCUGGCAGCAUUAAGAUAAAUUCAACAGUGUGCAUAAGUUUUGAUGGAUGAGUUAAUGGAAUACUGCAUGGUAUUGUUUCUGUAAAAUAUGCAGGGAUUCAUUAUAUGUAAAAUGAACCAUGGAAAGAGAAGAAGGGAAGUCACUGAUAUUUUAAGUAUGUAAAAAUGAGUACUUUAAAUUGUAAAACAGAAAAUUUAAUGAAUAUAUAUAUAUGAAGCUACUACUACAGGGCGUUGAGGAAGUAUGACUGUAGUCACUUAGUUCCAGGAAAACAAUGCUGGCUCCAUAUGAAGGAAUCCUCAAUAUGUUUGCGAUCAUCUACACCGCCUGCCCCCUCUUUCUAAAGAGGUUACUCUUGCUUUGACACUACCAAUAAUAGAAGGUUAAAAUGCACCCAAGGAGAAUUUGCUUAGAGGAAAAUAGAAAAGCCAGCUAAUAAGGGCCUCUGCAUAACUGAGUUCAGCUGCAUUUCACCCUGAACUGUUGACAAGGUUAUUAGUGUACAAAGGUUUCAGCCACAGACCUUGUCCUGUAACUCCAAGGUGGUUCUCAUUAAUUUUAAUUGGCAGAAACAUGUGAACAUGGCCUGAUUCUUCCCAACUUCACUUCAAGCCAUAUUGACCACAGCCCACUGAAGCUUUUGGUGCUAGCAUCGUCUCGGAGAGCAGUCCUAACUGGGACAGGGCCAGCCCUACCAUUAUGAAGCCUCAGGCAGAUGCCUCGGGCAACAAAUAUAGGGGGGCAGGCAGCAGUGGAAAGAUCCUGGAGGACAGAGUUGUGUGUGCCCUCUUAAAGGUAAAGGACCCCUGGAUGGUUAAGUCCAGUCAAAGGCGACUAUAGGGUGCAGCGCUCAUCUCACUUUCAGGCUGAGGGAGUUGGCGAUUGUCCACAGACAGCUUUCUGGGUCAUGUGGCCAGCAUGACUAAACUGCUUCUGGCGCAACAGGACACCAUGAUGGAAGACAGAGUGCACGGAAACACUGUUUACCUUCCUGCCACAGCAGUACCUAUUUAUCUAUUGGACUGGCAUGCUUUCAAACUGCUAGGUUGGCAGAAGCUGGGACAGAGCAAUGAGAGGUCACCCCGUCACGUGGAUUCGAACUGCCAACCUUCCGAUUGGGAAGCCCAAGAGGGUGGUGCUGUGGUCUAAGCCCUCUUGGCAAGGCUGCUGCCCUCAGGUGUGGUGGAAGAUGCCAUCUUAUCACCAGUGCUGAAGAAAGCUUAUUAUCAUCCUCCCAGCCACUUUUACUGUGGAAGGGUGGUGCUACUGCUUUUGAGCAGGAGCCAUGGUGGCUGCCCAUUUCAAUUUAUCCAAAAUGGGCUGGAGGAGACUCUUGAGAGUCCCAUGGACUGCAAAAAGAUCAAACCUAUCCAUUCUGAAGGAAAUCAGCCCGGAGUGCUCACUGGAAGGACAGAUCCUGAAGCUGAGGCUCCAGUACUUUGGCCACAUCAUGAGAAGAGAAGAUGCUGGGAAAGAUUGAGGGCCCAAGGAGAAGGGAACGACAGAGGAUGAGAUGGUUGGACAGUGUUCUUGAAGCUACUAAUGUGAGUUUGACCAAACUGCGGGAGGCAGUGGAAGACAGGAGAGGCUGGCGUGCUCUGGUCCAUGGGGUCAUGAAGAGUCGGACACGACUAAAUGACUAAACAACAACGCAGGAAGUUUUGUGAGGAGUAUUAUUGGAAGUAUUGCAAAAAUGGAGAAGGGAAAGGAUGAUUUGUUAAGAGAUGUAAAGUCAAUAUAAAGUUAAGAAAUGCAUAAGAAGUGGUUAAAACGGUGGAUCAUCAGAGGUGCUGAUGGAAGGAUAAAAAGAUUGUAUAAGUGAUACAUUUUAUAAUUUAUAUGUU